UACGUAGGGGGCAAGCGUUGUCCGGAUUUACUGGGCGUAAAGAGCGCGCAGGCGGUCGUACAAGUCGCGUGUGAAAGCCCCCUGGCUCAACUGGGGAGGGUCACGCGAUACUGUUCGACUCGAAGGCAGGAGAGGGAAGUGGGAUUCCCGGUGUAGUGGUGAAAUGCGUAGAUAUCGGAAGGAACACCGGUGGCGAAAGCGGCGCGCUGGUCUCUUCUGACGCUGAGGCGCGAAAGCCAGGGGAGCGAACGGG
rnacentral:rRNA from 1 species